GGAGCCAACGGGGGGAGAGCAGCCCUCUGGGCAGACGAGUUAGAGGAAAAUGGCGCCCUCCCUGGCCGGGUGGGGUCCGCGUGGAGGCGAGGAGGCGGAGGGGCCCGGGUGUGGCGGAGAGGACGAGGUGCGAGGGGGAGGAACCGACGCGACGCCCUGGAGCCGGAGGGAGUGAAUCUCAGGGAGGCUGUGUUUCUCCGUGACUUGUCCCGAUGCCAGACGGUCAAAGAACGUGGAUGUACACAAGAAUGAAAUUACUCCUGGAAUUGAAUCAUACCAAGAAUUUCACCAGAGGAUUUUAUACAUUUGGGCUGUGGCAGCAGACCAAUUAAACCACAGAGCUGGUCUAGAGGUGAGAAGUCCAAGAUCAAGAGUGAGCAGAGUUGGUUUCUUCUAAGGAGCCUGAGGGAAGAAUCUGUUCCAGAGAGAGACAGAGCGUGAGCGGGGAAGGGGCAGACAGAGAGGGAAACACAGAAUCUGAAGCAGCCUCCAGGCUCCGAGCUGUCAGCACAGAGUCCGACGUGGGGCUCGAACUCACAGACCGCGGGAUCAUGACCUGAGCUGAAGCUGGACGCUCAACUGACUGAGCCACCCAGCACAACACAGCACAAAAGUAGUGAUAUCAGGAAACCUUUAAUUGCUCUUUUCAGAGGAAAAGCUUCCAACGUUCAACAUUGAGCAAAUGAUUUCUUUGCUUAUCGUCCAUCUUCUCGACCUGGAAUGUAAAGCUGCAUAAGUUCCCAGCACCUAGGACAGGACCUGGCACCAAAAAGACGGCACCCCGCUAGUCUGCUCUACUUUGACUCCUAGUACCCUGACCCUAAAGGAGCGUCUCCAACAUACGUCAGUAAAAUUGCUUUGGUUUACUGUUGCCUGGAGGAACCAAGGGCUUGCAGAGUACACAAGGCUUUUCCGGCAGAAAAGAAAAAUACAAAUGCCACUUCCCAGACUAACUCACAGAGCGUGGUGUCAGAGAAAAGAGAAAAUUGAGAAAAUCCUUGGACUUCAAAGAGCUUAGGGGAGGCAUGGUUUCCCCUAUCCCAGACAUGUGUUUUCCACAUCUGAUAGUGUAACAUUCCUGGCUGCCUUCCACCAUUCAUUCGCUCCACUUUGGGGAAGAGGAGUGACUUACCUGCUGAUUUUGGAAGAGUGACAGGGCCUCUGCAGCCCUGCCCCCACCACUCUGCCUCUUGGAAAUGGCCACCAGCCAGGUGGGGAGAGUCUGUGCUGGAACAGCUCGGGGCCCUUAAAGUGAGCCCUAGUGAGACAGGCCCUACUCCACAUCUGGAAGCCUGGGUACCUAAUCUUUCAGAUUGUGUGAUUCAGUAGCAGGAGACCUAGGGUCUGCAAACAGAAGCCACUUUCUCCACUACCAGCUUUAACUGUGAUAAAGGUGAUGUUCACUAUCAUCUACCUUAUUUAGCCUUUUGUCUUGUUUAUCAGUUGGGCCAGACUGAGGGCAGGCAAAGUGGGUGCUAGUUAUUUUUUCCCCCAGCUUUACUGAGAUAGAAUUGACAUAGAACAACGUGGGAGUGUCGGGCGUCCAAAGUGUUGAUCUGACAUGCUCAUAUAUUACGCAACGAUUACCACUACAGCCUUAGCUGAUACCUCCAUCGUGUCACAUAACUACCGUCUCUUUUUUGUGGUGAGAACAUUGGAGGUCUAUUCUCUUAACAACUUUCAAGUGUAUAAUACGGUUUUAUUAGCUAUAAUCACCAGGAUAUACACUAGAUCCCUCGAACUUACUCAUCUUAUAACUGGAAAUUUGUGUAUCCUCUGCCCAACAGCAGGGGACACUACUUCUCCCUCAAACAAUACCCAAUGUUGCUCCUGCCCUACCAGUUGCAAGAGUGACAUCUGGGUCCUUUGGGGAUGUAUUAAGCCUAACCAUCACCAUUCUUAUAUCCUCCUCUGGGACCCAGAGAAUGGGUUAUGGGACGGGGAUAUCCCUCUAUAUUACAUAUUCACCCCGUGAGCCUCCCACUGCUCACCCCAAACGCCAAUCCACUGUUAAGACACCACCAUCGUAAGACUCAUCCAAACACCAGAGCAAACAACCCCUGAUUUAAGCUUGGUUUAACUAUCUUUUCCUUGUUUUUCACAACACAUUUUAUUUCUCGGAGCAUUUUUAGGUUCACAGCAAAACUGAGCUGAAAGCACAGAAAGUUCCCAUGUACCUUCCCUGCCCCCCCUCCAUGGCUUCCCCCCCACUAUCAAUAUCUAGCAUCAGGGUGAUACGUGCCUUGCAAUCCAUGAGCCUACACUGACAUGUCCUUAUCACCUCCUGGUUUACACUAAGAUCCACUCUUGGUGUUGUACAUUCUAUGGAUUUGGACAAAGGUACAGUGACAUGUAUCCGUCACUGUGUAUGGUAUUAUAUGGAGUAUUUUCACUGCCCUAAAAAUCCCAUGUGCUGCCUGUUCAUCCACCCCCGGCAACUACUGAUCUUUCACUGUCUCCAGAGUGUUGCCUUUUCCAGAAUGUCACAGAGUUGGAACCAUACAGUAUACAGCUCCUUUAGAUUGGUUUCUGUCACUAAGUAACACGCAUUUAAGGUUCCUUCGUAUCUUUGCCUGGUUUGAUAGCUUAUUUCUUUUUAGCACUGAUAAUAUUCUAGAUGUUACAGUUUAUUUAUCCACUCACCUACCGAAGGACGUCUUGGUGGCCUGCAAGUUUUGGCCAUUAGGAAUAAAGCUGCUGUAAACAUCUGUGUGUAGGGUUGUUUUGUAGACAUAAGUUUCCAACUCCUUUGGCUGAACACCAAGGAGGGCCCUUGCUGGAUUGCGUGGUACCAUUAAUGUUUAGUUUUGUAAGAAUCUGCCAAACCAUCUUCCAAAUGGUUGCACCGUUUUAUGUUCCUACCAGUAAUGAAUGAGCGUCUCUGUCGCUCCACACCCUUGCCAGCAUUUGGUAUUGUCAGUGUUUUGGAUUUGGGCCAUUCUAAUGGGUGGGUGGCGAUUUUUAGCUAUGUAUGUAUUCAUUCAAGACACAUCGUGUUGGUGUCUCCCGCGACCCAGGCUACACAGUAGUAGUCAGACAGCUUAACGCGACUCAUGCAGACCCCAGACUCAGGCCCAGCUCAGUGAAUGUGGACUGACUUUAAUUUGCUGAUCAUGCCAGCAGCCAAUCAAGAUGUUUUGUGAGCCAUUAUAACCGGCACUCUGUUUUGCUUUUUGGUUGCUGCCUGGAUUUCCUUUCUUUACUACCAAAAUAAAGUGUGCUUUUAAUGCCGCCCUCUAGAA